AGACCAGCCCUUACCUAGUCAUACCGCAGUACAGCGUGGGAAGUGAUGCAAGCCUAGGGCUCCCUGCAGCCUGCCCACCUUCCUAUCCCGGGCUCUCCCUAACCACCAAAACAAGAGGGCAGACUGCUCUCAUGUGUGGGUACUGCGAUGUUUUGGUUUGGUUUUUAUUAUUUUAACUAGAUGGAUUUUCAAUGGCCUAGGAAGGUUUUAAUUGGAUACUCUAUGAAGGUAAAAAAUGUAAUUUCUCAGGAUCCCUUUCAUUUGCUGUUAUGGUCAAUGGUCCCCCCGGGAAAGGCUGAUGCUGUAAGCUUUGUUACAUUUGGACAAGUCAGUGAAGUUACCCCAUACCCCUCAUUCACUAGGGACACUUGGAAUUGGGAAAGGCACCAGCAAGCUGGUUGGAAUGCAGAGACUGCAUUAGCCAAGUGUCCGGGGUCCAGCCAUGGAGGGUGUCACCGAGGGCUUGUGAUCCCUUGCCUUGCCUUGGUUGAGAAAUCCACAAAGCUUUUUUAAGUCUGUAAUUCCUGUGUCAGCAGCGCUCAGGUUUGGGUGGGAGAAACGGUGAGGAACGAUGAUGAUGAGGCAGAAAUUGGGAGGGGUGCUGCUCUUAGGCCCCUGGGGCAGAGUCUUGAGCGCCUGGGGAAGCUAACAGUGUGUCACUCUGGCAUCUAGGAAGCAGUAUAUCUCAACUCAGUUUUGCGGAGGACAUUUCUGCUGAUGAAGAUGACCAAAUCCUCAGUCAAGGAAAGCAUAAGAAGAAAGGAAAUAAACUUUUAGAGAAAACUAACUUGGAAAAGGAGAAAGGAAGCAGAGUCUUUUGUGUAGAGGAAGAGGACAGUGAAAGCAGUCUUCAAAAGAGAAGAAGGAAGAAGAAGAAGAAGCACCACCUGCAGCCUGAAAAUCUAGGCCCAGGGGGUGCAGCCCCGUCCCUGGAACAGAACCGGGGCAGGGAGCCCGAGGCCUCUGGGCUGAAAGCCCUGAAGGCACGUGUGGCCGAGCCAGGUGCAGAGGCCACGUCCAGCACUGGGGAGGAGAGUGGCUCCGAGCAUCCUCCAGCCGUCCCCAUGCACAGUAAAAGGAAACGGCCACGGAAGAAGAGCCCGAGGGCCCACAGGGAAAUGUUGGAAUCAGCAGUGUUGCCCCCAGAGGACAUGUCUCAGAGUGGCCCGAGUGGCAGUCAUCCUCAGGGACCUAGAGGGUCCCCGACAGGUGGAGCCCAACUCCUAAAAAGGAAGCGGAAACUUGGAGUUGUGCCCGUCAAUGGCAGUGGCCUGUCCACGCCGGCCUGGCCUCCAUUGCAGCAGGAAGGCCCUCCCACAGGCCCCGCAGAGGGGGCGAACAGCCACACCACCCUGCCCCAGCGCAGGAGGCUGCAGAAAAAGAAGGCAGGGCCCGGCAGCCUGGAGCUCUGUGGCCUGCCCAGCCAGAAAACAGCAAGUUUGAAAAAGAGGAAGAAAAUGAAAGUGAUGUCAAACUUGGUGGAGCACAACGGGGUGCUGGAGUCCGAAGCUGGGCAACCCCAGGCUCUGGGAAGCAGUGGGACUUGCAGUUCCCUGAAGAAGCAGAAGCUGAGGGCAGAGAGCGACUUUGUGAAGUUUGACACCCUCUUCUUACCAAAGCCCCUGUUCUUCAGAAGAGCCAAGAGCAGCACUGCCACCCACCCUCCAGGCCCUGCCGUGCAGCUAAACAAGACACCGUCCAGCUCCAAGAAAGUCACCUUUGGGCUGAACAGAAACAUGACUGCCGAAUUCAAGAAGACAGACAAGAGUAUCUUGGUCAGUCCCACGGGCCCUUCUCGAGUGGCCUUCGACCCUGAACAGAAGCCCCUCCACGGGGUGCUGAAGACCCCCACCAGCUCACCUGCCACCUCACCCCUGGUGGCCAAGAAGCCCCUGACCACCACACCAAGGAGAAGGCCCAGGGCUAUGGAUUUCUUCUGAGGAGCAGCAGAGUCCCUUGUAAAAGACUGCUUUUGUACAGAAUGCGCUAUAAAUUAUACCUUUAAGAAUGUGGGGCCUUUUUUAUGAUUUUAUAAGUUCCCAUAAGUUGUGUGCACGAGGUUCUGAGAGUGCCCGCAGGCUGCUGCGUCCUGGCCCCUCUGUAGUGGCUGCGGGCGUCUUGGUUGAAUCUUUUGCUACAAACCAUGUUUGCGUUUGAGCUCUCCAGGAUUUUACAUUUUUGGGUAACCUCAGUGAUUCCCAUUGGUGUAGGAAAUGAGACCCUCUCUGAAGCUGAGGAGAGCACGUUGAUCUGAACUUUAAAUCAAUCAGUGCUGCUGGCACAAUGAAAGGUGGAACUGCGCUUCUGUUGAGCUCUCAGUUCUGCGGAAUUUGGUACUCAUUACCGUAUUCGCCGUACUAAGUUGGUUUCUGUUAGUCUUAACAGUCUGUUUUCUUUUAAAAGCAUGUAGGGCUUCAUUGCCAUGUUCUGUGGGUGUUUGGCAGGUUACCGAUGGGGAAGAUUCUUGUCACAGAAUCAGCAAUACCAUAGUUUUUCUACAUGUGCUCAGCUGGGGGUGUGGACAGGUAGGGGUGGGGAAAGAAGAGGCUCUGCGUUCUGGGGGCUUUUUCUUCUCCUCCCCCUACCCGGUUUCCCUCCCUGUUUUCCUACCUCUACGGCAAGCCCAAAGUGUCUUCUCGGGAGCCCAGCGCAGCCCCCGGCUCUUACCCAGGACCCCGCCCCGUGCUGAGCCUUCUGCUGAGGUCCUUGCGUGGAGCACACUCAUUCCUCCAAGCCCUUGCGCUCCCGUUUCUCUCUCUCUCCGUCCACGUUCCAGCCGAGUCACUGCCUGACCGGCUCCUUGGCAGCUCCCCAUCUUCCCUAGAGGCUGCCUGCGCAUCUGGAGCCUGCGCUCCGGCUCAGCGACCUUUCCUCUCAAAUGCGGAAGCGUGCACUUACAGUUCAGACCGUUCUCCUGUAAGUUCAUUACAAACACGGGCGGAAGGCACUCAGCUUUCGUUGGAGAAACAGAAAUAAGGCCUUCUUUUGAGCAGCGAUUGCUGGAUCAUUGAUCUGUUUGAGGAAGUGUCUGACCUGGGCCUGAGAGCUGGAGAAGGUGCAGAUUCAAAGUGAGCGGCUCCUGAGGAGAGCCGCCAAGGCUGCUCGCCUUCUCCGUGGCUUCCGCAGCUACCGUCUGCACGGUGAGAGGGCACGGGCACACGGUUCGGGCUGGCGUGCAGCUCUCCCAGCCAGCCACGCUCUGCUCAGGCCUGGAAGUGAAAGCCGCCUCCUUCCCGUUAUGCCCCCCAUACAGGAGCCUCAGUUUUUCAGCAAAACGCGGCCAGUCCCCUUCUCCACUGCUGCCUCCCAGCAGAGGGCCCCAGGAUCUCCAAGGUCCCAGCUAUGGCUUUGGACAACGUGGCUUCGGCCCCUGGGGUUGCAGAGCUUGCAUUGGGUUUACCUCGGUCUCAUUCAUUCAUGGAGCCAAGGGUGGGGUUUCACCUGCGAACAUCAGACUGACUUGCUGGCGUCAAGAGCAGUUGACUCACUGAUGAAGGCCCUGGUGAGGAGAAAGCACUCUGUUCUUCGCCUACUCUGUAAUCGUUUUGUCAUAAUGAGCCAUGAAAAAAGUAAUGAACUUGUGCUGUUAAUCGUCACUGUAAUGAGAAGUCUUAUGUACAACAUAGCUGUGGUGGCUGCGUGGUUUAAUGGCUGCAUUAGAUAGGAUCCUCACAUCCCAUUCAGAACCAAAACUGAUACAGUGAAACAAUUAAGGUGAGCAAAUAGUUUUAACUUUUCUUUUUUUUUUUUUUUUAGUUUCAUUCUUCCUAGAAUAUUUUUCUAACAAUUUUUAUUUCAGCUUUAAAGAUGGGUCAUAUAGCCAAACGGGCCAUAUAAUCCAACAUUGUUGAGAUGUCUUAGGACAUCUAAGGCAAAACUGGCACAUUUGUUCUGCAGACUAUUGCAGGAAUGUUUCUUCCUAGCAUUUCUAUAUUAUCUGUCCAUUCUGAGGAACCAGUGAAUGUCCUAUAAACGCACCUCCUGUCAAAACCAUGCCUGAGAGGUCCUGGCUGGGAGUGACAGGGUGCUUCUUAGAUUCUAUUGGUCCUUCUCUCAUUCUCCGAACUUACUCCUUUUUGUGGGUAAGUCAACUAGGUUUACAGUCCCUUAUUUUUAAUGCCUAAGUUUUGACAGCAGGAAGAAAACAAUUUUUUAAAAAUUCUCAUUACAUAGACGCACAAGAAUAUGUCACAUAAAGAAAAUGUGUUUAGAAUACAGGUUUUCUAUUUACGCAUGAUAUUUUCCUAAGUAAAAUUGCCAAGUGGACUUGGAAGUCCAGAAAGGAAAAUAAUUUAAAUUAAUGCUGGUGAUCUUAACAAUAUUUUGUAAAAUGAUGCUUCCCCCUUCUCCAUGGUCUGGUCAAUUUUGUACAAUUAGGUAUCUGACUUUACAAGUUUGUUAUCCUUUCUAAUUUUUACUGAACUGAAAGCACAAAGAAGACUACACAGAAAAUCUGGAAACAGUUGCAGGUGUUGGGAGGAAGAUGAAAUCGAGCUGUCUUUUAACUUUUGUAUGUGUUUUAUCAGAAUUUGCUGGACUAUGCUGGCAAGGACUUUGUUUACGAUCAAAUUGUACUAGUGUCUGCAGGGUUUGUCAGUACUCGUCAAAGCCAAGUCCAAUUAAAAAAAAAAGUCUUUGCCCUCC
rnacentral:sRNA from 1 species